rnacentral:rRNA from 1 species
UACGUAGGGUGCGAGCGUUUGUCCGGAAUUAUUGGGCGUAAAGAGCUCGUAGGCGGUCUGUCGCGUCGGCUGUGAAAACCCGGGGCUCAACCCCGGGCCUGCAGUCGAUACGGGCAGACUAGAGUGCGGUAGGGGAGACUGGAAUUCCUGGUGUAGCGGUGAAAUGCGCAGAUAUCAGGAGGAACACCGGUGGCGAAGGCGGGUCUCUGGGCCGUAACUGACGCUGAGGAGCGAAAGCGUGGGGAGCGAACAGG